UAAUACGUAGGUGGCAAGCGUUGUCCGGAUUUACUGGGCGUAAAGAGCGCGCAGGCGGUCGUUCAAGUCGCGUGUGAAAGCCCCCGGCUCAACUGGGGAGGGUCACGCGAUACUGAUCGACUCGAAGGCAGGAGAGGGUAGUGGAAUUCCCGGUGUAGUGGUGAAAUGCGUAGAUAUCGGGAGGAACACCAGUGGCGAAGGCGACUACCUGGCCUGUUCUUGACGCUGAGGCGCGAAAGCUAGGGGAGCAAACGGGAUUAGAUACCCCGGUAGUCCUAGCCGUAAACGAUGGACACUAGGUGUUGGUGGUAUCAACCCCGCCAGUGCCGAAGCUAACGCAUUAAGUGUCCCGCCUGGGGAGUACGGCCGCAAGGCUAAAACUCAAAUGAAUUGACGG
rnacentral:rRNA from 1 species